GUUAGGCGCAUAUAUGGAGGCAAAGUUGUAGCGCCUGUCUGCAAUGGAGCCCUUGAGGAAGAUGUAGCGUCCCAGUGGGUCGGCCUUGAUCUCCGCACACACGAAGGGGACAUGCGCGGCGAAGAGAAUGGCCACUCCUGCCUUCUUGGCUUCCCUAUGAUUAGCAAAAUAGCCAGUGGGGAACCGUCGGUCUCGGAGGGCCGGUCCCGUCUGUCCGCGGAAGUGUGUCUCCUGGAUGAAGGCCACGGAGAUUCUAUUGGACCAUAGUGCCUGUAGUAAAUGUGAUCUCC